rnacentral:rRNA from 1 species
GACGAACGCUGGCGGCGUGCUUAACACAUGCAAGUCGAACGGAAAGGCCCUGCUUUUGUGGGGUGCUCGAGUGGCGAACGGGUGAGUAACACGUGAGUAACCUGCCCUUGACUUUGGGAUAACUUCAGGAAACUGGGGCUAAUACCGGAUAGGAGCUCCUGCUGCAUGGUGGGGGUUGGAAAGUUUCGGCGGUUGGGGAUGGACUCGCGGCUUAUCAGCUUGUUGGUGGGGUAGUGGCUUACCAAGGCUUUGACGGGUAGCCGGCCUGAGAGGGUGACCGGCCACAUUGGGACUGAGAUACGGCCCAGACUCCUACGGUAGGCAGCAGUGGGGAAUAUUGCACAAUGGGCGGAAGCCUGAUGCAGCAACGUCGCGUGCGGGAUGACGGCCUUCGGGUUGUAAACCGCUUUCGCCUGUGACGAAGCGUGAGUGACGGUAAUGGGUAAAGAAGCACCGGCUAACUACGUG